UGUUCCGGGACUUGGGAAAACUCCACGCGUCCAGACAGCUGACAAAUUUUGGGCCUGGGCAGUCGCGCAGGGGGCGCCCCGCGGCGCACCCAGGAGUCUCGGGUCAGGGGGAGCCUCGUGAAUGCAGAGGGCCAGGACAUGAGGAUUGGCCCUGAGGAUUGGUUAGGGCGUCCAUGAGGGGAUCCCCAAAGUUCCAAAGGACACUUUUCCUCCCCUGCAGAACCGGGAAAAGACAGCGGCCUCACCAGGAGCUGGAAACAGAGAAAGGCCGCCUGUGCCAGAGCCUACGGAGUGUUCACCACACCCAGGGACCACUGAAGGGUAGAGGCGCAGGUGUAGAUGGCCAACCGGGAAUAGCUUCGGAGAGGCUCCAAGUCCUGCCAAGGAUGGUAGUUCACGGGGCGGGGUAAGCUCUGAAGCGACCGUCCCCAGGGGAACUGUGAGGAGCCCGGGAAGCCCCACUCUGAAACAAGGCAAGGGGCAGAGCACUCUGCUUACAGGGUCCCAGAGCGGCCCUCCGCCCCCGUAGGGAGAAAACCAUGGAGGGGCCGGCUAGUUACUGUGGGUUGCCUGGCAGUGGGGGCAGAGCUGGUAGAUGCAGGACUCAGUGUGGGGAGGAGCUUGGAACUCUUAGGUUUCUGUGGCUCUAACACUCCUUGAAGGCAAGCCCCUGGGGCACGGAGCAGAGCAAACCCUGGCAGUGCCAGUGCGCACUGACGCCCGGCUCCUCUUGGUGUUCCAUGUGGCAUUGGCAGCAACAGCCCAGGUUGGGGUUUGGGCCCUCAGAGAAGCACUGGUCCACACCCCAGGCUUUCCAAAAGGCAGAGAAGAGGACCCUGGUGGCAGCCUCUUCUACAAUGUCAUGGUCUAUGCUAGAGACCUGCACCCGAGGCCCAAUGCCCGCCUGGUGAUGUCAGGGGCCAUAGUGGAGUGGUACUGUAAGUCCCUUGUGGAGCCCCUGCUUGGGACCACCUCUAAUUUGGAGACUUUGCGGGCCUGACUGAAGCCUCCUUCAUGGCGCUCAGCAACUGCUGAGGCUGUCAAUGAGGGUCGUCCCAGGCUGGACGGAGGACGACAGUGCCUAAGGAAGGACUGUUGGUGAAGGGCGCACCAGCUGAGACAGAGGCGGACGGAAAGGUGGAACGUGUGAGCUGUCUGUUGGCACAGGAUCUGAAGAUAGGCCAGGUCAAUUGCAUGCAUAUCAAGGGGGAAAACAGGAUGUGGCUAUGUGCAAGAGGAUGCAAUUCCCAGGGCUGCCAGCAGAAGAAGGCAGAGUGUACACAGGGGUCUGCUCUUUCCACCUCACCUGCUCUUUUC